GACGAACGCUGGCGGCGUGCUUAACACAUGCAAGUCGAACGGUGAAAGCGGAGCUUGCUCCGCUGGAUCAGUGGCGAACGGGUGAGUAACACGUGGGCAACCUGCCCCUCACUUCGGGAUAACUCCGGGAAACCGGGGCUAAUACCGGAUAUGACCUCCUUGGGCAUCCUUGGAGGUGGAAAGUUUUUCGGUGAGGGAUGGGCCCGCGGCCUAUCAGCUUGUUGGUGAGGUAGUGGCUCACCAAGGCGACGACGGGUAGCCGGCCUGAGAGGGCGACCGGCCACACUGGGACUGAGACACGGCCCAGACUCCUACGGGAGGCAGCAGUGGGGAAUACUGCGCAAUGGGCGAAAGCCUGACGCAGCAACGCCGCGUGCGGGAUGACGGUCUUCGGGUUGUAAACCGCUUUCAGCAGGGAAGAAGCCGCAAGGUGACGGUACCUGCAGAAGAAGCACCGGCUAACUACGUGCCAGCCGCCGCCGUAA
rnacentral:rRNA from 1 species